UUGACUACAAAACUUGUGAACAUCGUACUUCAUCUUCGAUCAAAAGAAGUGUUCAUGCAACAUAUUAUAAGUUUUAUUAAUCCCAAAAUGUCUCAUUAAGCCACCACCAAAUUAGACUAGCUCCAAAGAUAAACUAACAACCCUUGCUAAACCUAUCAAGCCCUUUCCCUUCAUGGUGUCUGAAAGCACAUUAGCGAGUGCUAGUCCAUUGAGACAGGCCUAGGCAAUACAUGAGCCCUCAGGUGGGUCCUCGUGCUCGUGGUUCGGUCGUAUGUAGAAAAGUACUAUACAUCCAACCUUGCCGGAACUGGAAAGCUACCUAAGGCAAUGCCAUUAGAACCUAUCAUGUCACAUGUGUAAAGGUUAGGCACAAAGGUACGGAUGGUGACGCCGUGACGAAAGCCAUGGAACUAGAGGUUAAUAUCGAAAUCAAGAAAAUACAGACAAAUAAAGGUCAAACAAAUGGAAAAAGAAGUAUCACUCGUUGGUUAUGGACCAACAUAUGCACAAAUAUCAUGUACGACUACAUACGCGCAGAGGCGGUCGCAUGCGUAAAGGUGGUAUGAAUCUCAAAUUGGGUCAGGCACAUAGGGUGCGGGUCACGAUUUGAGUUGGACACAGACAAUCGAGUCUGAAAUUUGUAACUUGUGUGUCGUCAAUGCCUUCAAAUAAUUUUUUUUAAGAUUACAAUUAGUUUUUUUAUUUUUUCUA